GACGAACGCUGGCGGCGUGCUUAACACAUGCAAGUCGAGCGAUGAAGCACCUUCGGGUGUGAAUUAGCGGCGAACAGGUGAGGAACACGUGAGAAAUCUGCCUUCAACACUGGGAUAACUCCGGGAAACCGGGGCUAAUACCGGAUAUGAAACCUGCGGGCAUCCGCGGGUUUGGAAAGUUUUUCGGUUGAAGAUGAUCUCGCGGCCUAUCAGCUUGUUGGUGAGGUAAUGGCUCACCAAGGCGACGACGGGUAGCCGGCCUGAGAGGGCGACCGGCCACACUGGGACUGAGACACGGCCCAGACUCCUACGGGAGGCAGCAGUGGGGAAUAUUGGGCAAUGGAGGAAACUCUGACCCAGCGACGCCGCGUGCGGGAUGAAGGCCUUCGGGUUGUAAACCGGUUUCAGCAGGGAAGAAGCGAAAGUGACGGUACCUGCAGAAGAAGCACCGGCUAACUAUGUGCCAGCAGCCGCAGUAA
rnacentral:rRNA from 1 species